AAUAGAUACCCCGGUAGUCCACGCCGUAAACGAUGGAUACUAGCUGUUUGAGCGCAAGUUUGAGUGGCUAAGCGAAAGUGAUAAGUAUCCCACCUGGGGAGUACGGGCGCAAGCCUGAAACUCAAAGGAAUUGACGGGGGCCCGCACAAGCGGUGGAGCAUGUGGUUUAAUUCGAUGAUACGCGAGGAACCUUACCAGGGCUUAAAUGUAGAUUGACGUAUUUGGAAACAGAUAUUUCUUCGGACAAUUUACAAGGUGCUGCAUGGUUGUCGUCAGCUCGUGCCGUGAGGUGUCAGGUUAAGUCCUAUAACGAGCGCAACCCCUGUUGUUAGUUGCCAGCGAGUAAUGUCGGGAACUCUAGCAAGACUGCCAGUGUAAACUGUGAGGAAGGUGGGGAUGACGUCAAAUCAUCACAGCCCUUACGUCCUGGGCCACACACGUGCUACAAUGGCCGGUACAGAGAGCAGCCACUUAGCGAUAAGGAGCGAAUCUAUAAAGCCGGUCACAGUUCGGAUCGGAGUCUGA
rnacentral:rRNA from 1 species